UUUAUAUGGUCUGUCGAUAAGUUUCGAACCUGCGACAAACAAACAAGCUGGUUCGACGGCUUCGCGAAGCGAAGCCGAACCGUCGCGUCAGCGACGGGCCCGAAGGGCGAGGCGCGAUAGCGCCGAGUAAUCCUGCCGGGCGCACCA
rnacentral:sRNA from 1 species